GGUGCCCUUCAUAGGGAAUAUGAACGCUCAUGUCUCUCCUGUCUCCACAGAUUCCAGAUAUUGCCCCUCCCGUGAGAGACUUUGCCAUGAACCGCACCUUCAACAUCAUCAGCGUUCAUUUCCUGCAGUUUGAGGUAUCGGCCUGGAUCGCCUGGUUCCACGUGAAACUAAUUCCUGUCCUCCCCAGUUUCACUACAGAGAUGCUCACUCAAACCACCGCACAGACAAACUGCACCAACUACCAAGUCAUGUAAGCACUGUGUAAUCUCUCUGAUGGCUCUUCAGUGCAAGACCUGAAUGAUGCAAGUUAUCGUGGCAGUAGAAGAACAUCAUGACGGCUGGCAAACUUAAGAAAAACUUUAAUAUCUGAAAAAUUCUUCUCUCGUAGUGUGAAAGGAAUGGGCAAGGUCUCCAAGAAAAUGCCGCUCACCAGAAGAAAGGGAAUCGCCAACGUCCUUGUGAAACAUCUGAAGCAGUUCUUGGCCACGUUCAACAAAAGAGGUAACUGGCCCUUGCACACACCAAGCUAGCUUAUAUUAACCUGGAUUCUGACCCAAGAUUUCCUGAGCCUUGCGGAAGCUUCCCAUUUCCAAAUCUUUUAUAAAUUCCCGAGAUGUUGGCGCUUACCUCAGGCUUUGACCCACGUUUUUGUUUAUUUUCUAGCCUGCAGACUGGACAUCCAGAAUGAUGCCGAAUGGCUGGAGGUCAACCUGGGUCCAUUCUCCAAAGAAGUAGACUACUCUGCCUUUAAAGAACUGAACAUUACAGGACUGGCAACUUUGGACUCGCUCUCACCGGACCAGAAAGCUGAGUUGGUUCUGGACCCCAGUAGUGGUGCUCUUGAGAAUGUGACUGUCUUGACAGAAGUCUUUGGCAGCAUAGUGGGAUCUCCAGACGAUGGGGAACUCGACCGUUUCUGGGAGGCUUGUGCCGCUGUCACGGCGCAGGUGAGUGGGUCGCAUGGAAGGUCAAACUUCAUCACUUGCCAAA
rnacentral:lncRNA from 1 species